AGUGAACGCUGGCGGCGUGCCUAAGACAUGCAAGUCGAACGAGAAAGCACCUUCGGGUGUGAUUAAAGUGGCGCACGGGUGAGUAACACUUGGGUAACCUAACCUUCAGAGGGGGACAACUGGCCGAAAGGCCAGCUAAUACCGCGUACGCCCUUUUUAACUAUGUUAGAAAGGGGAAAGCUUUUAGCGCUGAUGGAUGGGCCCGAGUCCUAUUAGUUUGUUGGUGGGGUAAAAGCCUACCAAGACUACGAUAGGUAGCUGGUUUGAGAGGAUGAUCAGCCACACUGGUACUGGAACACGGACCAGACUCCUACGGGAGGCAGCAGUUAGGAAUUUUGCGCAAUGGGGGAAACCCUGACGCAGCAACGCCGCGUGAGUGAAGAAGGCCUUUGGGUCGUAAAGCUCUUUCGAUAGGGAAGAAAAAAAUGACGGUACCUAUAGAAGAAGCACCGGCUAACUCCG
rnacentral:rRNA from 1 species